AGCACAGAGCCCGACGCGGGGCUCAAACUCACCAAACACGGGAUCGUGACCCGAGCUGAAGUCUGACGCUUAACCCACUGAGCCACCCAGGUGCCCUUUGAGUCAGACUUUGGACUGAAAGAGACUUUGGACUGAAAGAUUGUGCAGGUCUGGAUGCACCAGAAUAGCAGCGGUGCUGAUGGACAACCGAUAUUGGGCCCUGGAGCAGCAGCCUCACAUGCAAGGCCUAGGUCAUCCCCAGGGACGGGAAGGCUCCCAAGGUGGCUUGGGCUCAGGUAACAGGCAGAUGUCCUAUCUCAUUGGGCUCUUCCACAGCAACUCGAGCGUGGUAUCAGGAAGCCAACUUGACCUUGGGCAACCUCUGAGAGCCUGGAACCCACUAGCAAAAAAGGCAGUAUAUGAAUUGCUUGUGACUGCUUCAGCAAGCUGCCACAAAUUGGAGGGCUUAAAAUAAAAUGAAUUUACCAGAAACCCCCAAUCAGGGUAUUGCACGGCUGUGCUCCUUCCUCCCAAGGCUCUAGGGGAGGAUCCUUCCUUGCCUCUCCAAGCUCCUGGCGGCCCCUGGCGUUCCUUAGCUUGUGGCCACAUCCCUCCAGCCUCAGCCUCCGUCUUCACACGGCCUUACCCUGUGUCUCACAUCUUCCUCUUUUGACACCUGUCAUUGGAUGUAGGCCCCAUCCUGAAUACAGAAUGAUCUCAUCUUGAAGUUUUUAAUUUAUUUUAAUUUAAUUACAGCUGCAAAGGCCUUU